rnacentral:rRNA from 1 species
UACGUAGGGUGCAAGCGUUUGUCCGGAAUUAUUGGGCGUAAAGAGCUCGUAGGCGGUUUGUCGCGUCUGCCGUGAAAGUCCGGGGCUCAACUCCGGAUCUGCGGUGGGUACGGGCAGACUAGAGUGAUGUAGGGGAGACUGGAAUUCCUGGUGUAGCGGUGAAAUGCGCAGAUAUCAGGAGGAACGCCGAUGGCGAAGGCAGGUCUCUGGGCAUUAACUGACGCUGAGGAGCGAAAGCAUGGGGAGCGAACAGG